rnacentral:lncRNA from 1 species
UCGUGGCCGUUACUGUGGCCUGUUAGGGGGAGCCCAGGCCUGUCGGCCGAAGAUCGGUUGAAGUGCCUGGCAGAAAGAGGUGCCUAUCCAUCUGGAAGGAGCUCGGACUUUGCUAGUGGGCCAUCCACCGUUGGGUGCCUUGAGCGUUAGUACUAUAGGUGAGGGCCAUCUGCAAUUGGAGUCGGAGGCGAAGUCCGGCUCCCGUAGGAGUCCGGACGAAGUCCACCUAUAGUCGGAGUCGGGGAUGAAGUCCGGCUCCCGUGGGAGUCCGAACGAAGUCCACUUGCAGUC